rnacentral:rRNA from 1 species
UACAGAGGGUGCAAGCGUUAAUCGGAAUUACUGGGCGUAAAGCGCGUGUAGGUGGAUGCGUAAGUUGGAUGUGAAAUUCCCGGGCUUAACCUGGGGUGGUCAUUCAAAACUACGUGUCUAGAGUAUGGUAGAGGGAAGUGGAAUUUCAGGUGUAGCGGUGAAAUGCGUAGAUAUCUGAAGGAACACCAGUGGCGAAGGCGACUUCCUGGACCAAUACUGACACUGAGACGCGAAAGCGUGGGUAGCGAACAGG